GUAUUGGGGUGCUUUGAAUAUCAAGAGGCUGAUGACACUGGACUGGGAUUCUGCAUGAGAAUUACCUGAGAGUUGUCCUUUCCAGUGUCACCUAGGGACCUCAUGUCUCUCACUUGCUUGAGACCCCAGCAGCUGUAGUCACAGUCCUGCUACCCUAUGGCUGUGAACACCUUUGGAGUGUUGCAUUUAUAUUAUGCUAUAAAUAGUACCUGAAAAAAGAUAAGAUAGUUUCUGCCCUGAUGAACUCACAGGCUGUGAGAAAGCUAGACAAAUGAAUGAUGUCAGUUCACCAUAGGAGUCUAGGGGAGAGCAAAGACCAUCUCUCUUCCCAAAGCAUUUUGCCCCACUGCUUGCUUUUGUAAAUAAAGUUUUAUUGGAACACAACUCUGCCCAGUCCUAUCCAUAUCAUGAAUGGCUGCUCUAUCAUGAUGCAAUGGCAGGGUUGACUGGUUUUAGCAGAGAAUAUAUUGUCUAUGGAGCCAAAAUAACUUACUGUCUGGCCCUGUCCAGAGCCAGUUUGCCAGCUGCUGCCAUAGAGGAUCCAAUCUGAUUUAAUUCCUAGAUGGCUCAAUGUGUCACUGUGAAACCUAGAAGGCUGUAGAACAGUGAGUGGCUUUAGCAAACUGUGCUGUGGAAUGUCGCCAGCUUCUCCACCAUGAAGUGAGGGAAGAAGCGCCCCUGGGGAAGCUCCCCUGUGGAGCUAACUCUAUGCUCAGUUUAACUGGCUUUGCACUCACAGGGGGCGGCCCUCUGCCUCUGUUCCCAAGUAGGAGAGAGUUGUUGAGAAGGAACAAGGAGCUAGUUCUAAGUACUUUAAAAAUGAGAAGCUAAUGACUGCCAGGUAAGCAGAGUGGCAUACACUGUCUCACAACACAGGAGGCUGAGGCAGGAGAGUCUUGAGUUUCUGAUCAGCCUGGGCUACAUAGCCAUAUUCAUCUCAAAAGCAAAACAAAAGAAGUAUGAACUCCCAGUGUCUUGUGGGGAUUUGAAAAGCCUGGCCCAUGUAGCCACAAGUGACCUAUGGAUGUGUCACCUUAUUUGGAAAAUUUCUUCAGCCCCCAACUACCUUGAGACAUCCACUCCUGCCCAGAGGUUUUAUACUGGGCUGUAUUGGGCUCAUAGCUAUAUUUUCUCAUUCAAAAUUGAUUCCAUAUGAAUUCCUGGAUGUUCCAUUCUCAUAAUGAGGGGCUUUGGGUACACUGAGCCUGCCUUGUUACUCGGGCUCAGUUCUCUAGUGAUGAACAGUAGUAUUUUAGGAUUUUGUUGCAGUGAAGAGACACCAUGACCAUAGAUGGCAAUGACAACUCUUAUAAAGGAAAACACUUAAUUGGGGCUGGCUUAGAGUUUCAGAGGUACAGCCCAUUAUUAUGGCAGGAAGCAUGGCAGCAUACAAGCAGAUACGGUGUUGGAGAAAGAGCUGAAGAAUUCUACAUCUUUAUCCAAAGGCAGCAAGGAGAGACUGUUCUGCACCCAGCAUAGCUGGAACACAGGAGACCUCUAUGCCUGCCCCCACACUUCCUCCAACAAGACCACAUCUACUCUAACAAUGCCACACCUCCUAAUAAUGCCAUUUCCUAUGGCCAAGCAUUCAAACAGGAGUAUAUGAGGGUUGUACCUAUUUAAACUACAUGUGCCUGCCCCGUUAACUGCCCCGUUGGAUAUGUGCUGAUAGAGCAGCUGUAACAGAAACCUUGGCCAUGCAAACCUCUGCCUGGAAUCCUCUGAGCACUAAGACCUUCUGGCUGGUGGCAGCAGCCUUCAAGAGCACACGUUUCAUGACACAUAUAGGCCCUCCCUGUAGGCACCUGAGAUUUCCCUUGAGCCACCCCAGGCAUCUGUCCACUCUGGAGCAAGUCACAUUCUUUCCCAGCUUUCUGCCUUGCCUGUGCUACAUUCCUAGCCAGCUACACCCUUUCAAGUCACUCCCACUGUGGUGAUAGGCCCUGGCAUGCAAAACUACCUCUUCCUGUUGAGGCUUCCCACCAGGCUGUAGCAAGGCUGUAGCAAGACUGGCGUCAUGCCUUAUUCCCAGUGGAAGUGGAGACCCACUUUGGUGUUAUAUGCUGAGGCCUAGCAAACAGAUGUUUUCUGGAUUAUCAGUGUAACCUGGGAGAGAAGCUGAAAGAAACUUAAUGGCUCUAUUCCAGAGUUCCAUUUUUGGGGUCUUGAAUUGUCUUAGUGCUCAGAGGAUUCCAGGCAGGGGUCACAAAUUGUGAGGUCCGCAUGGCCAAGGUUUCUGUUACAGCUGCUCUGUUAGAGCCUUGUGACUCCCAAGCCUGCUCUGCAUACUCUGGAAUCCUCACUUUAUUUUUUUAUUUUUUGUGAAGACCUGCUUGCUAGUUUCACAGAGCAUGUGAUUUCCUCUGUAUAUAAAACAGAACUGAGCAUGCUACUGCUGAGCUUGGCAUGGUGGUGCAGGUCUAUAAUCCCAGUGUAGAAGGUGGAAGCAGAAGGAUUGGGAGUUCAAGGUCAGUCUAGGCUGCAUGAGGACCUGUCUAAAACAAUAACAAAACAACACCAAUAACAACAAACCCCAAGAAUUACCCUCCCAAACACACAAAACCCACACUAACAAUAUCUCCCUAUUACAAGAAUUAUUUAUAAGAAUUAUAUAUGUGCAAAGACCAAGGCAAAAGUCUAGCAUGUGAAGUACAUUUGUGUUAGCUUCAUCAGUAAUGAUUUUGCUCUCUUGAUCAAUUAUUCUGACAUGUGAGCCUUUGCUUUUCUGAAACUUUGCUGAAGGGGACAAUCCCCUAGACUUUGGACUUGACCACAGCUGCAGGGAGCUAACCAGGAAAGGUAAGAGUAGGAACAGGAGGGCCCCAUCUGGCAGCUUCUGCUCUUGACUCCUGAGAACUUUGCCUGGCAGGAUGACAGGCCUUGCACCACUACAUCUUUCAGUUUUCACAAGAGUACAGAACUUGGGAUUUUAAGAUGUAAUAUCUCCAAAGUUUUAACCAUUGGCUGAAAAGAUAGUAUAUUU
rnacentral:lncRNA from 1 species